ACGUAGGGUGCGAGCGUUAAUCGGAAUUACUGGGCGUAAAGCGUGCGCAGGCGGUUGUGCAAGACAGGUGUGAAAUCCCCGGGCUUAACCUGGGAAUUGCAUUUGUGACUGUACGGCUGGAGUACGGCAGAGGGGGAUGGAAUUCCGCGUGUAGCAGUGAAAUGCGUAGAUAUGCGGAGGAACACCGAUGGCGAAGGCAGUCCCCUGGGCCUGUACUGACGCUCAUGCACGAAAGCGUGGGGAGCAAACAGGAUUAGAUACCCUGGUAGUCCACGCCCUAAACGAUGUCAACUGGUUGUUGGGAAGGUUCCUUCUCAGUAACGUAGCUAACGCGUGAAGUUGACCGCCUGGGGAGUACGGCCGCAAGGUUG
rnacentral:rRNA from 1 species